UACGAAGGGGGCUAGCGUUGCUCGGAAUCACUGGGCGUAAAGGGUGCGUAGGCGGGUCUUAAGUCAGGGGUGAAAUCCUGGAGCUCAACUCCAGAACUGCCUUUGAUACUGAAGAUCUUGAGUUCGGGAGAGGUAAGUGGAAUUCCGAGUGUAGAGGUGAAAUUCGUAGAUAUUCGGAAGAACACCAGUGGCGAAGGCGACUUACUGGACACAUAUUGACGCUGAGGUGCGAAAGCGUGGGGAGCAAACAGG
rnacentral:rRNA from 1 species